AAGAGGUCGUAUGCCACAGA
rnacentral:misc_RNA from 1 species